rnacentral:rRNA from 1 species
AUUGAACGCUGGCGGCAUGCUUUACACAUGCAAGUCGAACGGUAACAGGCCUUCGGGUGCUGACGAGUGGCGAACGGGUGAGUAAUGCAUCGGAACGUGCCCAAUCGUGGGGGAUAACGUAGCGAAAGUUACGCUAAUACCGCAUAAGCCCUGAGGGGGAAAGUGGGGGACCGCAAGGCCUCACGCGAAUGGAGCGGCCGAUGUCAGAUUAGCUAGUUGGUGGGGUAAAGGCCCACCAAGGCGACGAUCUGUAGCGGGUCUGAGAGGAUGAUCCGCCACACUGGGACUGAGACACGGCCCAGACUCCUACGGGAGGCAGCAGUGGGGAAUUUUGGACAAUGGGCGCAAGCCUGAUCCAGCCAUGCCGCGUGCGGGACGAAGGCCUCGGUUGUAACCGACUUCUAGCCGGAAAGAAGUACGCCGUUUUAAUUACUAGACGGUGGAGUGACGGUACCGGAA